UACGGAGGGGGCUAGCGUUGUUCGGAAUUGCUGGGCGUAAAGCGCACGUAGGCGGCUGUUCAAGUCAGAGGUGAAAGCCUGGAGCUCAACUCCAGAACUGCCUUUGAAACUAGACAGCUAGAAUCAUGGAGAGGUGAGUGGAAUUCCGAGUGUAGAGGUGAAAUUCGUAGAUAUUCGGAAGAACACCAGUGGCGAAGGCGGCUCACUGGACAUGUAUUGACGCUGAGGUGCGAAAGCGUGGGGAGCAAACAGG
rnacentral:rRNA from 1 species